rnacentral:rRNA from 1 species
AUGAUGACCGGAUCGAGCUCCCGAGUGUUCAUCAUGCCCGGCGCCGGCCAUGUCCACUACCUCGUCGCGGGAGGCUUCGGAGGAGGCGACGACCCCAGGUACCCCUGGACCUUCAAGUCCCUGCACGAGGUGGACGCCGUCGUCCCUGCCAUCGCCCGUGGGGCACCGGCAGGGCCUGACGGGUGCCCCAUCUGCUUCCGCACAUUCGCCAGUGCCAAGGCCGUCCAUGGCAACAUGCGCAGCCACACGGACCGCAGCUGGCGCGGCAUGGAGCCGCCCCGGGAGACACCCCUGGGCGAGCUCGGGCUGGACGGGCAGCGUUACCCGUACGUGUGCGACCGCUGCAAGAUGCCUUUCCAGACGCGCCAGGCGCUCGGCGGCCACCGCGCCAGCCACAAUGGUAAGAAAGGCUGCUCCUGGCUCGAAAGAGAGGAGCUCGCCGCCGCCAAAGAAGCUCGUAAGCCCGUCCUGUUCGGCGUUGAUAUGAACCUUCCGGCUCCCGAGGCAGAUCAGGAACAGGGGGAUGAGUAG